CGUUCUUCUUCUUUCUUCUUCUCCGUUAUUCUUCUAUGUUUUUCCUCUGUAAGUGUGGAGUAAUGAAUUUGAGAGUGAGGUUGUGAAUCAGUUCGAGAGAACCAAUUGAUGGAGUGGUAGAGAUGGUGGAUGAGUCGAGGCUGUUGUUGAUGAAGAAGAAGAGAUGAAUCAGAGAACCAAGUCAGGGUUUUCAGUGAAUAAGAAUUAGAGUUUCGAAUUGGUGAUGAUUAAGGUGAAAUUAAAGGUGGGUUUGAAGGUUAUAACCUGAAUAUGAAGUCGGUUAUGUCAAUUUAGAGGAUUUGACUAUAAAGAAGAUCUCAAUUCGAGAAAGUUGUAGAGUUAGGGUUCUGUGAAAAAGAAGAAUAGAGGAUCAGGGUUUUAGGUUCGAUUUUAGGCUUGCAUGGGAUUGAUAGAUGAAUUGAGGACUGGGUUUAGAUGAUUAAGGAACGGGAUGAAGUUAAACUGAAUAUGGAUUUGUUAUGUGAAGUAUCUAAGAAUUAGGGUUUUCUCAGAAGAUUGUGUAGAAAUUCGAUUAGUGAUAAAUGAGACGAAAUUGAGAUGGUUUUAUGUUUAAUUGAACGAUAUGAAGUUGUUUUAGAGAAGAAUAAAGGAUUUAGGGUUUCACUAGAAUUUCGAUUAGAUAUGAAUAACAAGAGUUAAGGAGUGGAUUUGUCGAUUGAUGAACAUGGUGAAGUUAACUGGAUGUUUAUGAAGCUGAUGAAGAAUUAGGGUGUGGUUCUGCUAUUAAGAAGGUAAUUGUUCUUAUUAGUAAAUAUGUUCAAGUUCAUUAUUAACUUUAUAAGUUUCUUGAUGAAUUAAGAAUUAAAAUGGAUCUGUUGAGUAAGUGCUUGAGCUGUAUUUUGGUUUGAUUUUGUGUAUAUCACAGGGAGAAGAGUUAUAUUAAUGUUAAGUUGAUUACAGAUGGUAGUUUUGAGAUGAAUAGUGUUUGUAAUAGAUGAACUGAAUUGCUAUGGUUCAAUUAGAUUGAGAUGAAGAUAUGUAAGUUGCAGAUUAGUGAGGUUCGCAUCCAGAGAUGGUGGUUGUCUGUGUAUGUAUGCUUGCAGGGGUGGAAUGAUUGUUGCGGGACAUGAAUGUACCUUGGUUGUGUCUGAAGAUGUAGGUGGUGCUGAAGUGGUUGUAGAGAAUUGUAAAUGUUGACCACCGGAUAUGUGUAUGUGUUGGUAUGAAAUAGCAUAGAUUUAUUCUUGAGAGAGUUGGGAAAAUGGAGGUGGUGGAACUGAACUUGGUGGUAAUGGUGUUUAACUGAAGUUCUAUUGUGUUGAGCGAAGAAGUUAUCAAUGAUGAAAUUGUUGUGAUGAGUAGUUGUAGGAGAUGUAUUGCAGAUGUGUGCAACAGUAGAGGGGUUGUUUGUAAUGAAGAUGAUGUUGCUGUUGGUGAUUUAUGUUGAGUGUUGAUGUAUUGAACUGAGAUGCAAGUCUGAAGCUAGGAUUGUUAUAGAACUGAAGGUGGUAGUGAAGUUGAAUGCCAUAAAUUGUUUUGUAGUUGGACUGAACCUGCAGUUUUAGUGGUGGUGUUGUGUGUUUGAGAGUUGCAGGCUGGAAAGGUGUAACUGAGAAUGAGUUUGGUAAGAUGAAGGAAGGUUAGAUUGUUGAAAAGCUUGCAACUACUGAAAUUACAGUUAGUCUAUAUUAACAACGAUCGAUUCAAAGGAUAAAUCAGUGGAUCGUGGAUCUCGAGGUAGGCGUGGCUUGUCAUCAAAAGAGUUUCAGAAACAAAUCAGGAUUGCGCAGCGGAAGCUUCGAGGAGUCGAGUUCGUUAGUUGAUUAACUUCGACUACAAUUACUAUGUUGUAUAUUUUAUUUGGAAACCGAAUGAGUAUUGUUGUAUUAUCAUUUGAGAGAAGUUCUUGUAUAUAUAUAUAUAUAUUUCUGAGCGGGGCUAGUUUUGGGUUAAGUUUUGUAGCAGAUUUCUUAAUUGAAUGUUUAAGUAAAUGAUUUAGAUUCUUAGUGCCUCUUUAUUU